ensembl:lncRNA
AAAUGCUGAGCCGGCCCUCGCCGGUUGUCAGGGAGCUUUUUCACCUUUGGGACGCGUGCUGUGAGUUUAGGGGCACAAGGGAACGUGGGGACAGUGUCACGGCAGUGGAUGUGCGGGGCUUCAACACCCCCAGCCCACCGUGUUCUUGCCCUGCCGGCUUGGAGGAGUGCUGCUGCAUACUUGGAAUGUGUUUUGCAUAGGGCCAUCCCAGACCUCUCUUCUUGGCUGCUCACGACUCCAAAGGUGUGAAAGGCUGCAGCGAAAUGUCAUUCCGUUAGUUCAAGAAUGCCUGGUUCCGUCCUACCUUAUUUAAGUAGUUCACGAAACCGCUACAAAAAUCAGUGUGAUACUCUACCUUUUCAGCCAGAUGGGAGUGAUACUGUUAGGCCAGGGGUCUCUCUCCCCCUGCUUUCCCCUCAUAUGUUCUGUUGAAAACGUGUCUGAGAGAUGUGUCAGACCCCAAGGUGGAGGUCUGGAUGCACUUUUACGUCAAAGAGCAUUACCAGAACGCAACCUGAAAGGUUCUUCAGGCUGAAGGCAAAUUCGUAGAAGCCAUGAUUUUAUAAAGCCAGCCUGCGUUCUCCGGUUAUGUUGACUUUGGCCACAGAGGCUGUCCGAGUGGUGGGGUUUCUUUUCAAGACUGAGUGUCUUCCUGAGGGUUGCUCUUCGGAGCAGGAGGUUGUAAAGCUCAGCAGAACGGCUCAGCUUACAUUAUGCUGUUAUUUUGAUCUUUGGGCAUUCGUGCAAUCUCUGCCAAGAGCAAAUAAAUACAACAAUUGUCAGUGAUUCAUUUUAAUCUUGAAUUGGGCUGCCAUUCAAGUCACCCUGCGUUCUGUCAGAGCCCUAAGAAAUAGUGGCAUGAAGGUAAGUCCCCCACAUGAGAGAUCUGCAGGAAGAUGGCCACUCCAACACCAAGAGUGCCUUUCGGCCUGCAGUGUUGUGCUGUGCAGACCAGAACCUGUGCAGUGCCACAGAGAGAGGCCUUAGAGAGCAGAAGGAGUUAAGGCAAAGCAAAAGCAUGCCUCUGCCAUGCCAGGAUGCUCAGAGCGAUGUGACAGGUGGCAUGAGGCCAGUACUCUGAGUGCCAAGAGAGCACUGGCACCUACUAAUAAUUUUGGGGUCAUUUAGUGCCGUGUGUAUUUCAGAUCAGUAGAUCAGUGGGGAAUGAGUGUAUUGUCCUCUAUGUUGCAUUGAUGUUAUGAUAAAUAAGUGGUCUCUAGAGAGUCUACACUUCCAGUGCAGAAUUUCAGAUUUCUUCAAGCACUUGCCCUGAACGGGUGUAUGUUUUGAUAUCCUACAGAGGACUACACAUUUCUUCCUCUUUUUGAAUUUGAGAGCUGAAGAUUUAUUUUCAAAAUAUAAUACUUUGCGUUUG